GGCUUCGAAGCCCCAGGGGGAGGCAGGCCCUGCUCCAGGGGACUCAGCCAGCCCCUCGGGUCCGGCCCCCCUCUCCAGAUGGAUCCACAUCCCAAGAAGAAAGCCCUUCCCACUUCACCGCAGUCCCAGGCGAGCCACUGGGGGAUGAGACCCAGGGACAGCAGCCCCUCCAGUUGGAGGAGGAUCAGAGGGCGUGGCAGCGGCUGGAACAGCUCAUCCUGGGACAGGUGAGGUCCCUGGAGCCAGAAGGGAUUGCCGGCUGGGACGCCAGAAAAAUGAGGUCCACCCUGUCUCUCUUACUUCUCCCCAGCUGGAGGAGCUGAAGCAGCAGCUGGAACAGCAGGAGGAGGAGUUGGGUCGACUGCGCCUGGGCGUGGUGAGGCUGCAGGGGGACCUGGCAGGGCCGGGCAUGGAGGGGGUGCUUCAGGUGAGUGCCGAGGUUUCCUCUCCACCAGGGGGCGACGGACUCAGAGAAAAGGGUUCAGCAUCUGACUCUGGAGAACGAGGCCCUGAAGCAGAGCCUGAGUCUCAUGCGGGACCUCCUGCUGCACUGGGGCCCCGGGCCCCCCAUCAGGGCUCCGCAGGAGGAGGCGGAGGCAUUGCUAGAGCUCCAGGGCCGGCUUCAGGAGGCCCAGGACACCACAGAAGCCCUCCGAGCCCAGGUGGGCAUGGGGCCCAGGGAUCCAUGGCUCAGG
rnacentral:sRNA from 1 species